GUGUGUGUGUGUGUGUGUGUAUGUGGUGUAUUUGUGUGUGUUCCUCCAGUGCCCAUGGUGCUUUAGUUGUUAGUUAGGUGUAAUCUCAAAGGACCUGUCAUCUCCCAUGUGUGUAUAUGCAUAUUUGUAUCAGUGGCUAUAGAAGAGGGAAUUUUGAGCAGUAUCUGACUCCAAACACUGCAUGAGGAGGUUGUGGUUGUAAGGCUGUGGACACAUUGAAGAAUCUGACUCCUUGCGGUAUGUAGAGAGAUUUGGUUUUAAGGUAAUGGAAAUGUACCAGGACCUUGCAUCAUGAUCUGCUGUGAGUGUAUGGUUGGGGGAAUUUGCCUAUUGGUGAUGGCUCACUUACUAGACCCAACACACACAUUUCUCUCUCUUGCCCUCAUGUGCAUUUGUUUCUACCUCUCAUUGGUCUCCCUCUCUUUCCUCCUCCCUCCCACUCUACCUCCCCUUUGUGUUGACUAUUCAGGGUUUGGAACUCAACAGGCCCUGUUAUCUGUUUGUGUGUGUGUGAAUUUUGCUGUAGGGGAGGAUACAACUUGAUGAAUCUGAUUCUCGUUUGUGUGUGUGUGUGUGUGUGUGUGUGUGUGUGUGUGUGUGUGAGACCUUGCAUUUGAAGGGUAAAAGUCAGGGCCUGAAAUACAUCAUAUGGUCCUGUGUUUAUAUGCAGGGACAGAGAAGUCUUUGGUUGUUCUGUGCUGUUUGUGCAGGGACAUCCCAUGACGUAAACAUCUCCUCACACUUCUUCUCUUCAAGGGUCGUUAAAAUAGAUGGUUUUUGAAGGACUGAUUUGUGUCUGCAGAGUAUCUAGUCUGUCCUGAGUGAAAGGGUCAUCAGGCAUUGUCUCCACAGUAUAGUGAGAUUGAUGACUAUCUUAAAUGCCAUCAUAGAGCCUGCAUCCAGUAGCAGGUGGAAGCAGAAGCAGAGAUUGACUGCCAAGCACUGAGUUGAGCUCCUGGAAUCCAGUUGUAGAGAUGGAGGAUUGAUGAGCAAAGGAGUCAAGACCAUACUAGGGAAACCCACAGAAAGAGCUGGCAUGACAAGUUGUAGUUCAGAGACCCAUUCUGACAGCUUCGCAAUCAAAAUAGGACCAAACAAGGCCCCAUGAAGAUGUGAUGUUUGGAGCAAGAGCACCUACCAAUCCCUGCUAGAGAGAAGGAGAAGAACAAGACUGAAGAUCAGGGGCUCUGCCCUGAAGUUGCUGUUACUAAUCCUUUUUUAAAAAGCACCAUUCUAAUCCCAGAAUUCCUUUCAUGCAUAGAAAAAUAAUUAGUUUUGCUCAAAAUACAGCAUCAUUGAAUUAA